ensembl:lncRNA
AUUUUUGUUUGCUGCGAUCUGAGCAUGCUUAUGGUGCAGUGAAACAGAGCCAAGAAUCAUGCAACAGGAGAGAAAAUAGGAGAUAAAACGCAUGCAUGGAUGGGACUGAUAUUGCACGGCAAUCUGUUAAACACACAUAAUCAAUUGCCCGUUUAUAUGAAACAGCUCUGCAGACAGUGAAUAAUGCAGCAUCUAGGCACCUGGAGGAACGGAGAAACGUUCUCCUUUUUGUCUGUUUUAGAAUAAAGUCCUUAAAACACGAAAACCUCAGCUACAGUCAAGCAUUUUGCGUGCUGCCACGUGACAAUUUAUUCAGUGAAAAGGAGAUGGUCAGAAAUGGAGAGAUGACUGAGAAACAGGCUGCAUGGGAAACUGCACUGUGUCCCAGCAAGAGAGCAGUGGUUCACAUGGAGGGAAGCUGCUGGUGGAAUACCUGGUCUCACUGAACUGAUUUAAUGUGCUAACUAAGUGGGCGUGUGCUGGUGACAUGAAGUCAGAGGAGUCCGUCAGCGCAGAGGAAAACUGCAAACCAGAAGUUUGCCAAGUCUGACAUCUAUUCCCCCUCUGAAGCCAGUUGCUGUCAUUUUGAAUAGAGACCUGAAAACAAAGCCUUGAAACUGUCCCUCUGUGCUGGUAGCCGUAUGGACAUCUGUGAUGGGAUUUGGUUGCUCAAUCAAACACACUUCAGUGUUGUUCUAGAUACUGAGAGGUUCAGGUCUGGUCUCCAGAUGCUGAAAUGAGUUGGGUUUCCCACAAG